GGCACUUUGGCGGAGUGGUUAACGCGAUGCCCUGCUAUUGACCAAAUAGACCAGGCAUUCCCUUCGGGGGCGUGUGUUCGAAUCACACAGGUGUCG
rnacentral:tRNA from 1 species